GACGAACGCUGGCGGCGUGCUUAACACAUGCAAGUCGAACGGAAAGGCCCUGCUUUUGUGGGGUGCUCGAGUGGCGAACGGGUGAGUAACACGUGAGUAACCUGCCCUUUACUUUGUGAUAACUUCAGGAAACUGGUGCUAAUACCGGAUAGGAGCUCCUGCUGCAUGGUGGGGGUUGGAAAGUUUCGGCGGUUGGGGAUGGACUCGCGGCUUAUCAGCUUGUUGGUGGGGUAGUGGCUUACCAAGGCUUCGACGGGUAGCCGGCCUGGGAGGUGGACCGGGCACAUUGGGACUGCGAUACGGCGCAGAGUCGUACGGGAGGCAGCAGUCGGGAACAUUGCACAACGGGCGGAAGCGUGAUGCAGCAAUGCCGCGUGCGGGAUGACGGCUUUGGGGUUGUAAACCGCUGUCGCCUGUGACGAAGCGUGAGUGACGGUAAUGGGUAAAGAAGCACCGGCUAACUACGUG
rnacentral:rRNA from 1 species